CCCUUAGAUGCUCUGGGCCGCACGCGCGCUACACUGGUCGAUGCAACGAGUUUCUUUCCUUGGCCGACAGGCCUGGGCAAUCUUUGAACAUCGAUCGUGAUCGGGAUAGAUUCUUGUAAUUUUUGAUCUUAAACGAGGAAUUCCUAGUAAACGCAAGUCAUCAGCUUGCAUUGAUUACGUCCCUGCCCUUUGUACACACCGCCCGUCGCACCUACCGAUUGAAUGGUCCGGUGAAAUCUCCGGACUGGCGUGAGUCGGAGCAAUCUGACAAACGCCGGAAAGUUGAUUAAACCUUACCAUUUAGAGGAAGGUGAAGGCGUAACA
rnacentral:rRNA from 1 species